rnacentral:lncRNA from 1 species
CGCUCCUCCAACACUGGGGAUUCCAAUUCCACCUGAGAUCUGGGCAGGGACACACAUUCAAACCAUAUCACCUGAAAAGAAGAAAUGCGUGAGGAUUGAAAUUGGCAACCAAUCUUUGAAAGCCUAGUAGACACCCGAUGCCUUCAACAUGUCUUAUAUGACCCUUGCCUCCAGCCUGUAAGGCUGGAGUGCAGUGGUGUGAUCUCAGCUCACUGAAACCUCCGCCUCCCGGAUUCAAGCAAUUCUCUUGCCUCAGCCUCCUGAGUAGCUGGGAUUACAG